rnacentral:lncRNA from 1 species
UCUGGUAAGUCACGACAAUGGCCACUACCCCACUCCACUCUCUGUAACAGGUUCCACGUGGCUCCACUACUCUCUGACAAGUCACGAUAAUUGACACCACUCCACUCUCCAUAACAAACUCCACGUGGCCCUGAAUGCCCCCUGACGCCACUACUCUCCGUAACAAACUCCGCGUGGCCUCGAACGGCCUACUACCAGGCAGUUACAGACAUCGCUGUCAAUCAGUUAUGCU